rnacentral:rRNA from 1 species
GAUGAACGCUGGCGGCGUGCCUAAUACAUGCAAGUCGAGCGAACAGACGAUACUCUUGCUUCUCUGAUGUUAGCGGCGGACGUGUGAGUAACACGUGUAUCACCUACCUAUCAUACUGGGAUCACUUCGGAAAACCGGAGCUAAUACCGGAUAAUCUUUUGAACCGCGUGGUUCAAUAGUGAAAUACGGUCUUUCUGUCACUUCUAGCUGGAUCCGCGCUGCAUUGGCUAGUUGGUAAGGUAACGGCUUACCACGGCAACGAGGCAUAGACGAGCUACGAGGGUGAUAGGCGACACUGGAACUGAGACACGGUCAAGACUACUACGAGAGGCAGCAGUAGGGAAUCGUCCGCAACGGGCGAAAGCCUGACGGAGCAACGCCGCGUGAGUGAUGAAGGUCUUCGGAUCGUAAAACUCUGUUAUUAGGGAAGAACAGAUGUGUAAGUAACUGUGCACAUCUUGACGGUACCUAAUCAGAAAGCCACGGCUAACUACGUG